AUUGAACGCUGGCGGCAUGCCUUACACAUGCAAGUCGAACGGCAGCAUGGAGAGCUUGCUCUCUGAUGGCGAGUGGCGAACGGGUGAGUAAUGCAUCGGAACGUACCGUGUAAUGGGGGAUAACGUAGCGAAAGUUACGCUAAUACCGCAUACGACCUGAGGGUGAAAGCAGGGGAUCGCAAGACCUUGCGUUAUACGAGCGGCCGAUGUCAGAUUAGCGAGUUGGUGAGGUAAAGGCUCACCAAGGCGCCGACCUGUAGCGGGUCUGAGAGGAUGAUCCGCCACACUGGGACUGAGACACGGCCCAGACUCCUACGGGAGGCAGCAGUGGGGAAUUUUGGACAAUGGGGGCAACCCUGAUCCAGCCAUGCCGCGUGAGUGAAGAAGGCCUUCGGGUUGUAAAGCUCUUUCGGCCGGGAAGAAAUCGCACAGGCUAAUACUCUGUGUGGAUGACGGUACCGGCAUAAGAAGCACCGGCUAACUACGUGCCAGCAGCCGCCGUAA
rnacentral:rRNA from 1 species